rnacentral:rRNA from 1 species
GACGAACGCUGGCGGCGUGCUUAACACAUGCAAGUCGAACGGAAAGGCCCUGCCUUUGUGGGGUGCUCGAGUGGCGAACGGGUGAGUAACACGUGAGUAACCUGCCCUUGACUUUGGGAUAACUUCAGGAAACUGGGGCUAAUACCGGAUAGGAGCUCCUGCUGCAUGGUGGGGGUUGGAAAGUUUCGGCGGUUGGGGAUGGACUCGCGGCUUAUCAGCUUGUUGGUGGGGUAGUGGCUUACCAAGGCUUUGACGGGUAGCCGGCCUGAGAGGGUGACCGGCCACAUGGGGACUGAGAUACGGCCCAGACUCCUACGGGAGGCAGCAGUGGGGAAUAUUGCACAAUGGGCGGAAGCCUGAUGCAGCAACGCCGCGUGCGGGAUGACGGCCUUCGGGUUGUAAACCGCUUUCGCCUGUGACGAAGCGUGAGUGACGGUAAUGGGUAAAGAAGCACCGGCUAACUACGUG